rnacentral:rRNA from 1 species
GACGAACGCUGGCGGCGUGCUUAACACAUGCAAGUCGAACGAAGGGCGAUGGAAGCUUGCUUCUAUCAAUCUUAGUGGCGAACGGGUGAGUAACGCGUAAUCAACCUGCCCUUCAGAGGGGGACAACAGUUGGAAACGACUGCUAAUACCGCAUACGAUCUAAUCUCGGCAUCGAGGAUAGAUGAAAGGUGGCCUCUACAUGUAAGCUAUCACUGAAGGAGGGGAUUGCGUCUGAUUAGCUAGCUGGAGGGGUAACAGCCCACCAAGGCGAUGAUCAGUAGCCGGUCUGGGAGGAUGAACGGCCACAUUGGGAAUGAGACACGGCCCAGACUCCUACGGGAGGCAGCAGUGGGGAAUCUUCCGCAAUUGACGAAAGUCUGACGGAGCAACGCCGCGUGAGUGAUGACGGCCUUCGGGUUGUAAAGCUCUGUUAAUCGGGACGAAAGGCCUUCUUGCGAAUAGUGAGAAGGAUUGACGGUACCGGAAUAGAAAGCCACGGCUAACUACGUG